ACGUGAGCAACCUGCCCUUGACUUCGGAAUACCAGCUGGAAACAGCUGCUAAUACCGGAUAUGACACGCGCCUUCAUGGGUGUGUGUGGAAAGCUCCGGCGGUCAGGGAUGGGCUCGCGGCCUAUCAGCUUGUUGGUGAGGUAACGGCUCACCAAGGCUUCGACGGGUAGCCGGCCUGAGAGGGCGACCGGCCACACUGGGACUGAGAUACGGCCCAGACUCCUACGGGAGGCAGCAGUGGGGAAUAUUGCACAAUGGGCGCAAGCCUGAUGCAGCAACGCCGCGUGCGGGAUGACGGCC
rnacentral:rRNA from 1 species